GACGGAAGGUGCAAGCGUUGCUCGGAAUCACUGGGCGUAAAGGGUGCGUAGGCGGCCGUGCAAGUCUGGCGUGAAAGCCCCGGGCUCAGCCCGGGAAGUGCGCUCGAAACUGCGCGGCUCGAGUGCCGGAGGGGAGAGUGGAAUUCCUGGUGUAGCGGUGAAAUGCGUAGAUAUCAGGAGGAAUACCGGUGGCGAAAGCGGGUUGCUGGGCUGACACUGACGCUGAGGCGCGAAAGCCAGGGGAGCGAACGGG
rnacentral:rRNA from 1 species